UCACAGGAUGGCUAGGGUUCCGGCUGCCGGCACGGCAGCGCUGGUCCGAGAGCCAUCGGCCUGUCGCGGCCUUCACCGCACCAGGCUCCACGGCGGGACAAAAGCCCGGGAGAU
rnacentral:sRNA from 2 species